rnacentral:rRNA from 1 species
UACAGAGGUGGCAAGCGUUGUUCGGAAUCACUGGGCGUAAAGCGCACGUAGGCGGAUUGUUAAGUCGGGGGUGAAAUCCUGAGGCUCAACCUCAGAACUGCCUUCGAUACUGGCAAUCUCGAGUCCGGAAGAGGUUGGUGGAACAGCUAGUGUAGAGGUGAAAUUCGUAGAUAUUAGCUAGAACACCAGUGGCGAAGGCGGCCAACUGGUCCGGUACUGACGCUGAGGUGCGAAAGCGUGGGAGCAACAGGG